rnacentral:rRNA from 1 species
ACUCCUACGGGAGGCAACAGUAGGGAAUCUUCCACAAUGGGCGCAAGCCUGAUGGAGCAACACCGCGUGAGUGAAGAAGGGUUUCGGCUCGUAAAGCUCUGUUGUUAAAGAAGAACACGUAUGAGAGUAACUGUUCAUACGUUGACGGUAUUUAACCAGAAAGUCACGGCUAACUACGUGCCAGCAGCCGCGGUAAUACGUAGGUGGCAAGCGUUAUCCGGAUUUAUUGGGCGUAAAGAGAGUGCAGGCGGUUUCUAAGUCUGAUGUGAAAGCCUUCGGCUUAACCGGAGAAGUGCAUCGGAAACUGGAUAACUUGAGUGCAGAAGAGGGUAGUGGAACUCCAUGUGUAGCGGUGGAAUGCGUAGAUAUAUGGAAGAACACCAGUGGCGAAGGCGGCUACCUGGUCUGCAACUGACGCUGAGACUCGAAAGCAUGGGUAGCGAACAGGAUUAGAUACCCCUGGUAGGAUAGCG